rnacentral:rRNA from 1 species
AUGAAUUGCCAACAUAAAUACACUAUUGUGAGCUGUAGUACUUACUAUAAUAUUGAUGCAUCUUCUUGUUGCACUGUAAUGUUCCAGGGUACUAUGAUACAUGGCAAGGUAAUGAAGCAUAUGGUUAACAAGUUCAGACCAUUGAUCCAAGAAGGUUUAGUCUGCAUGAUAGCAAAUUUUAAGGUUAUGUCUGCAAUGAAUUUCCGUCCAGUUGAAAGUGAAAAGGUUCUAAAUUUCUUGCACACGACAAAAAUUCAAGAGAUAAAAGAUGUCAUUAGCAUAGCAAGUUACAUAGGACAUAUUGAAGAAACACAGACAACCCAUGGGAUUUCAAAGAUUCGAGAUAUUGUGCUUCAGAUUGAGGAUCAAAAAAUUAGUAUUAGACUAUGGGGUAAUAAGGUUGGUCAAAUUGAUGAAGAUUCUUUGGGGCGUGUGGUCAUAGUAACAUCAACUACUGUUAGAAAACUGAAAGAGUACUCGCUGUCAUCUACAGGUGCGACCAGAGUUUAUAUCGAUUUGGAUAUCCCUGAAACAAAUGAGCUUCAAACGAGAUAUGGUGGAACUGGAAAGACAUUUCUGUGGAAAGCAAUCACGACAAAAUUAAGAUCUGAAGGAAAAAUAGUUAUAGCAGUUGCUUCAAGUGAUAUAGCAGCACUUCUUUUACAGGGUGGAAGACCAGCUCAUUCAAGAUUUCACAUUCCGCUCAAGAUCACUAACGAGUCCACAUGCAACAUCAAGCAAGGAACAUUUCUUGCGGAGCUAAUAAAGAAAACGUCACUAAUAAUAUGGGAUGAACCACCUAUGACACACAAGCACUGUUUUGAGGCACUAGAUAAGAGUUUGGGAGACAUACUUCGAUUCACAUAUGAGGACGCAGAGCAUAGACCAUUUGGAGGAAUGACAGUAGUAUUGGGAGGUGACUUCAGGCAAAUCCUACCAGUUAUACCGAAGGGGAAAAUAGAACAUAUCAUUUCUGCAUCAAUAAAGAGUUCCUACCUAUGGAAGAACUUUGAGGAGUAUCGACUCAAAGAAAAUAUGCGUCUGAAUUCAUCCGAAGGUAGUCCAGAAGAGAAAGCAAAAACAGCUGAAUUCGCAAACUGGAAACUAAACAUAGGCGAUGGCACAACGUCAACAAUAGAUGAAGUGGAUUGGGUUAGCAUCCUAGAGGACCUUAUUUUACAUAAAGGGGAUGACCCGGAAGCAUCUAUUGUUAACACCACCUAUCCUGACUUACACAGAAAAUACACUGAUAGAACAUACCUAGAGGAAAGAGCGAUCUUGUGCCCAAGAAACGAGACUGCUGACCAGAUUACUGCCUACAUCAUGAGUCAAAUCCGUGGAGAAGAGGUAACCUAUUUCAGUUCAGAUACAACAUGCAAGGCAAUGUCUACGGUGGAAGAUGAAGAUAUGUUGUACCCAACUGAGUUUCUGAAUAGUACAUUUUCUGGAAUACCAGACCAUGAACUGAGGCUGAAAGUAGGAUUACCAAUAAUGCUUAUGAGGAACAUCAAUCAAAGUGCAGGACUUUGCAAUGGACAAGACUAA